rnacentral:rRNA from 1 species
AACAAACGCUGGCGGCGCGUUUUAAGCAUGCAAGUCGGACGGCAAGAGCUGUAGCAAUAUGGCUCCUAGAGUGGCGAACGGGUGAGUAACACGUAGGUGAUCUGCCCUUGGAUGGGGGAUAGUCCGUGGAAACACGGGGUAAUACCGCAUGAGGCCUUGUGGGUGGAGCCAUGAGGUGAAAGGUGCAAUUGCACCGGCUGGGGAUGAGCCUGCGGUCCAUUAGGUAGUUGGCGGGGUAAGAGCCCACCAAGCCGACGAUGGAUAGCCGGCCUGAGAGGGUGUACGGCCACACUGGAACUGAGACACGGUCCAGACUCCUACGGGAGGCAGCAGCUAAGAAUCUUCCGCAAUGGGGGAAACCCUGACGGAGCGACGCCGCGUGGACGAUGGAGGCCGUAAGGUUGUAAAGUCCUUUUCCUGGUGAAGAAUGACCGUGGGAGUGGAAAGCCCAUGGGAUGACGUUAGCCAGGGAAUAAGCCCCGGCCAAUUACGUGCCAGCCGCCGCCGUAAGAC